rnacentral:pre_miRNA from 1 species
AGGAGGAACAACCGCAGUGGUGGAGCCAGCUCUGGAGCCCUGGAUUCAGCCCCCGCAGGAACUCCGGAGCUCUCUGUCUUCAGGGGCCUGGAUGCUCCGGGGCCGG